ACAAUGCAAUCAGUUUUUUAGAGUUGUUUUUAACAAAGAACAGAAUUAAUCUAGUACAAUCAGUUGUACCUACUAGCUUUCUAUAAAUAUACGACUUAUUAUGUACUUAGGUACAAUUACUUUAGCAACUUACGAAAUGACAAUUCUGCAUUUGUGUGUGUCUCUACUCGUAAUACAGAGCGCUUUUGGCAGCACUAUGGAAGAUGCUGAAAAAGCGUUACAAGAGUUGGAUGAUCUCAGUUUUUACGUUCAGGGUGAGCUUAGCGAAUCAAUGUAUAAUCAGUCUGUUCUUCUUCGUGAUAACGUACAUGAGAUGGAAGUGUCGGCCACUCAAGAAAUCCAAAAUCAAAUUGCAACUGUCACCUCUAUAAUUAAAACGUUGUUUGACAAUGUUGAGUCUGUUAUUGAAGAUGUUGUUUCUUGUGAAAUUGGUCCAGACCAAGAAUUGAAAACAUAUGGUGAAGAGUUAAAGAAACAGCUUAAAGAAUGCGGUGAUCAUUUAAUAAUGACAGGAACUGCAAUGAUGUAUUCAACUUGGCACAAGAUUUUGUUAGAUUACGAUUUCCACUACAACUGCAAUAAAAUGAGUUUAUGGGAAUGUAAAACUUACGAAAAUGAAAAGUGUGUUGAUAGUGUUUUAGAAAAUAUAGAACGUGCUAAAGUAGACAUGACAAAUUCAGCUAAAGUAAUAACUGCAGAAAUGUUAAAUAGAGUAAUAGGGAUGAAUUACUCUUGUGGGGACAUGGUUGUUCAAGACAUGAAACAUUACUCUUCUGUUAUUUUAAAGUUUGUCAGUUCGUGUUUGAAAAAUUUGGGCGAUGUUGCUUUUAAACCUAUUUGUUAAUUGAAUCUGUAUUACUAGUGCCUGUGUUAGUGUUAUAAUUAUAUUAAGGAUACAAAACAGA